rnacentral:rRNA from 1 species
GUUGCCCUGUGAUACACUCUCGACGAGUCGAGUUGUUUGGGAAUGCAGCUCUAAAUGGGUGGUAAAUGCCAUCUAAAGCUAAAUAUUGGCGAGAGACCGAUAGCGAACAAGUACCGUGAGGGAAAGAUGAAAAGCACUUUGGAAAGAGAGUGAAACAGUACGUGAAAUUGUUGAAAGGGAAACGCUUNAAGUCAGUCGCACUGUUCGGGANUCAGCCUUGCUUCUGCUCGGUUUACUUCCUGUUCAGUGGGUCAACAUCAGUUUUGGUCGGAGGAGAAAGGCUUGGGGAAGGUAGCAGCACUUGUGCUGUGUNAUAGCCCCUUGUUGUAUACUUCGACUGGGACUGAGGACCGCAGCACGCCUUUGGCCGGGGUUCGCCCACGUACGUGCUUAGGAUGUUGGCAUAAUGGCUUUAAGCGACCCGUCUUGAAACACGGACCAAGGAGUCUAACAUGUGCGCAAGUGUUUGGGUGUUAAACUCNGACGCGAAAUGAAAGUGAAAAGUUGGGAACACUUUGUGUGUGCACCGACGCCCGGAGCUGACCUUCUGUGACGCAUCCGCGGUAGAGCGUAUAUGUUGGGACCCGAAAGAUGGUGAACUAUGCCUGAAUAGGGUGAAGCCAGAGGAAACUCUGGUGGAGGCUCGUAGCGAUUCUGACGUGCAAAUCGAUCGUCAAAUUUGGGUAUA